UACAGAGGUCUCAAGCGUUGUUCGGAUUCACUGGGCGUAAAGGGUGCGUAGGCGGCGCGGUAAGUCGGGUGUGAAAUCUCGGAGCUUAACUCCGAAACUGCAUUCGAUACUGCCGUGCUUGAGGACUGGAGAGGAGACUGGAAUUUACGGUGUAGCGGUGAAAUGCGUAGAUAUCGUGAGGAAGACCAGUGGCGAAGGCGGGUCUCUGGACAGUACCUGACGCUGAGGCGCGAAGGUCAGGGGAGCAAACGGG
rnacentral:rRNA from 1 species